UUUGGUACUUGAAGAGAGGAUACCCUUUGUAUGUUCACUUUAUUAAUGGCGAAUAUACAGAGGGAGACUCUUAUUUGCGUAUCAAA
ensembl:miRNA